rnacentral:tRNA from 1 species
GCCUUCGUGGUAUAACUGUAGCACACUUGGCUAGUAUUCGAGAGACCCGGGUUCGAGCCCCGGCAGGAGCA